GAUCUUCCCGACCCAGGGAUCGAAUUCAUGUCUCCUGCAUUGGCAGGCAGAUUCUUUGCCACUGAGCCACCAGGGAAGCCUGGGGUGAUGUGUACAAGUGCACAAACAACAUGCUUGUGGGAAGCAAAGGAAGCUGCUCGAACAGAUACAUACUUCUUCGGCAGAGUCCAUCUUAUGUUAAUGAAAAGACGUUCUAAUGGGAGAAGUAAGGAAUACCAGGAAUGAUCAAAGAGAAAGGUGUGAGCAUGAAGCUGGAGGACAGAUAAAUGCAGACACAGAAAGGAAGAAUACAGGCCAAACAAACUGACUUCUAACAUUCCUAACUCAUCGCCACAUUCAGCGUCCCAGGCUUCUGAAUGCUUGCUUGAAUCAGAAUCCUGUCACUGCCUGUUCACUCAAUGUCAUCCUUUGUACCAUCAAGGACACUGGCAAUGUGGCAUUUCCUAACAGAAUCUGAAAGUACUGAAAGCUCUUGGGGCUGGACUCUGGCUUGCCUAUUUUUGAUUUCUACUUCAAGAAUACUGCCAAGCACGUGGUGAUUUCUCAUUUCCCCCACUCCCUUUCCCAUAAACAUUUGGUUCUGAGGGAUUAAAAGAGUGUUUCACUCUUCCUUCGCGGAUUUUAUUGCCAGCAACUGACACCCAUUUUUCAAGUCUGGACACUGGUGUUUUUGAUGUUCGUGGAUAAGUAUGCAAUGACAACUGCAGCCUGGCCAACAGACUGUGAGAAUCUUCAUUUUAUAAGAAGCAUCUUGAUUUCAUAGAUGUUGGUAAUAAGUCAACUAAGGUCUGAACUGACCCUUCUAGAGUUCAGCUCUGUUUGGUUUCAUUUGUAGGAAACACAGUAUACUAAUAGCCUUUGCAUUGCACCGAUUUUUCCCCCCAUAAUAACUUCAGAUAAAAUUACAUACUGUAUUUACUCAUUUAGUACAGAAUUCUAGAAUCUCCCUGGUGGUCCAGUGGUUGAGAAUCCACUGUCAAUGCAGAGGACAGGUGAACUAAUAUGCUUCUAUUUUAGCUUCUGGGACCAUGGUACUUCUACACACCAGGCUAGUCUAACUUCAACAUAGCUAUCUGCUACAGAGUAAGGUCAAGAAUGAUGGUGGAUUAUUGGUAAAAUACAGAGGGUGGGAGGAGUCUGGUAUAGGACAUAGUACUGCCAUAUCCUUUUUGGUGAUGUAACGUUACUGGUUUUCAUAAAACAGUAACAGCAAGUGAAACUUAUUGACCUGAGACAGCUCAGUAAAAUGAGUCUGAUUUUGGUAAAAGGCCCAGUUGCUGCUUGGGAAG